ACUCAAAUGAAUUGACGGGGAUCCACACAAGCGGUGGAGCGUGUUGUUUAAUUCGACAGUAAGCGAGGAACCUUACCAGGACUUGACAUCCUCGGAAUCCCGCAGAAAUGCGGGAGUGCCUUCGGGAACCGAGUGACAGGUGCUGCAUGGUUGUCGUCAGCUCGUGCCUUGAGGUGUUCGGUUAAGUCCGUUAACGAGCGCAACCCUCGUCGUAUGUUGUUUUUUCAUACGAGACUGCCCGCUUUAAGCGGGAGGAAGGUGGGGAUGACGUCAAAUCAGCAUGGCCCUUAUGUUCUGGGCGACAAACGCGCUACAAUGGCCGGUACAAUGCGUAGCGAAGCCGUAAGGCGGAGCCAAUCGCACCAAAACCGGUCUCAGUUCGGAUUGGGGUCUGAAACCCGACCCCAUGAAGCUGGAAUCGCUAGUAAACGCCAAUCAGCCACGUGGCGUUGAAUAUGUUCCUGGAUCUUGUACACACCGCCCGU
rnacentral:rRNA from 1 species